GCUGGGAGUGGCAGGUUCUGCACCAGGAUCCUGCAGCUCAGCCAUGACCCUGCUCCGUCAAAAUUCUGAUUUUCCAAAGGUGAUGCUUCUCCAGCUGUUUGGGGUUUUAAAUCACAUGAAACAACCCCAAUUCCUGUUUCCACACACCAAGAUCUGUGCCCAGAAAUGAUGUUUUGUUUGAGCAGCACCAGAGGUUUCACCUGGCAGGGAACACCACACAUCACCUGAGCUGCCCUGUGAAUAAUCCCAGCAUUCAGGUAACACUGAGGUGAGGCAGUGCCUGAUGCACUGGAGCUGUGCAGGUUUAAUUUAGGAAAGAACACAAAGCAGGUGGUGAUCUCAAAGCUCUCAGAAUGUGCAGCCCAGGAGAUUUCCAGAGCUCUGGGAGCUGAACAUUCCAUGUCCUGUCACCAACUUCAGUGCAAAUCCAGCAUCCAUUUCAAGGUGGAAAACAGAAAAUAAAGAAUUCCUCAUUCUCCUCCUUCCUGGUCAGAGCUCAGGCAGACUCUGGGAUCCAGCUGCUGGUGAGCUGGAAAAUCUGUUUUGCUGGAAAUGAAUAAUUCACGUGCCUGCCAAUCUCCCUGCCCUUUUUUUUUCCUUUAUUAAAUUUGGGUGGGGGGUGCCCAGUGUUUGCUGAGCUUUAAUUCUCAGAAUUCUCCAGUUCUGUCAUACACACCGUGGCAAUUUCUCUCCUCCCCUGUCUGAGCCAUAACUCAAUUUCCAGGCAACAGGAAAAUAUUCUCAAUUUCAACAUCAAUCUGGGUACUUCAAUAUUGCACCUCUGCUGCUUUUGUCUCUGCUUUUUUGUUGUUUACAGCUCCUGCUGAAUUUCCUGGCACUGCUGUGUGUUUGCCAUGAUUUCCAGGCACGGGUAAAUUCCCAAAUGCAAAGACACAAAUUCCUGAUCAAAUUCCAUGACAACUGCAAGGUGAUGCUAUUUUAUGUGGCUCUGUGUGAAGAGAGGAAAAGCUGAUAAUCUCAGCAAUAAUCCAAAUUAGCCACAUUCAAACUUGUCUUAUUUAAGGGUUUGUUGUGUUGGGGUUUUUAUUUUUGAACUUCUCCAUGAGGCAAUUUUCCAGUUUGAACUAAUAAUUCACAAGCAGGAGAUAUUCCAGGCUCAAAUCCAGCUCCAGCCAGGAGAGGUGUGGGAGAAAAAGCUAAUUCCAAAUUGGAGCAGUUAUUGCAGGGAUGCAAUCUUUGAGCCACAAAUUCAGGAUUUGUUGAAGUUCUGACUCCAAGUUACAAAACUCUUCAGCACCUGAGUCAAUGACCUGUGCAGGGAUGAGUGCUGAGCCCCUUGCAGCAUCUUUUCAUUAGUUAUAAAUAUAUCUGCCAUUCAAUUUUGCCUUCGUGCUCUUUCACUCCCACUUCUUCCCAGCCAGCCACUCUCAGAUCUGAGCAAACAAUGACAUUUACAGGAUUAUUUUCUGAAAAAUCAUCUUCCUCUGCCUCUCAUUGUGCUGGGCUGCACAAUGACACCUUGGCAAGGUUGUGAUAAAAAAGCAAGAGAUGAAACAGAAAGAAAAGCCCCAGAAGUGGAAGCUCAGUGAAGCAUCAGAUAAAUGUCUUUUUUUUCUUUUACACACUGGAAUUACCUGGCACAUCAACCUGAAUAACAUCCAGUAAUUAAAUCUGAUCUAAGUGCCUGAUUUGGGUCUAAAAGAACCAAAGGGAUUUAUAAUUAGGCACAGUUCCAGUGCUGCUGAGAGCAGGGUGACUUCCAACCACUCAAGGCAAAACUUUUGCCUUUAAAUAUUAAUUUGUGCACCAAGAAAGCAGCAGAUCUUUGGGGGAUCUGUUGAUUUUCUUUCUCUUCCACUUCCAAGAGAAUAAUCCAAAAUUUCACCCCUAAGAGGUCGGAGCUGUGGCACCUUUGAUCCUCACAAAAAAUGUGAGAUGAUCUCUGCAGUCACCUCUGGGUGUGUUUGGGAGUUAUCCCUGGGUUUAACCCUGCUGAAAGCAGCUGGUUUGCACCAUACAAAGAAUUAUUACCAGAAUCCCUGGGAGAGUUUGCAGAUGGUGAAUUAAGUACAGCACGGCUAAUUAAUAAUUCAUGAAAUGGUAAAAGUAAUUAAUGAUUUUACCAGCUUUUACCUGGACUGAGGCACAGAGGGGAAAGAGAUUUGUGUGUGCUCACAGCCUUGGUUCCUGCACAGUCAUAGCUCAGAUAGUCCUUGAUUUUCACAGAACUUUCACCAAAUUUCAGUGAAAUUUCCACUCCCACACCAAGUUUGUGGGAUUGUCCUGGUGUUAGGACAGAACUUGAUCCCAGCUGGAACCAAACCAGGGAUCAAACUAAUUGCUAAUUGCUCUUACGAGGUCCUUGUGCUCAGGCCAGGAGUUGUUAGAGGA